AACGAACGCUGGCGGCGUGGAUAAGACAUGCAAGUCGUACGAGAAAUCCUUGGCUUGCCAGGGAGAGUAAAGUGGCGCACGGGUGAGUAUCGCGUGGGUAAUCUACCCUUGAAUUCAGGAUAACACUUCGAAAGGGUGCUAAUACUGGAUAACAUCCUGAUGGUUUAGGCCAUAAGGAUCAAAGAUAGCCUCUAACAUGUAAGCUAUUGUUUAGGGAUGAGCCCGCGUACCAUUAGCUAGUUGGUGGGGUAAGAGCCUACCAAGGCAACGAUGGUUAGCUGGUCUGAGAGGAUGAUCAGCCACACUGGAACUGAAACACGGUCCAGACUCCUACGGGAGGCUG
rnacentral:rRNA from 1 species